AUUAAUCAAAUAGUAAUUAAAUAGAUAAAAUUAUAUAUUUUCAUUAAAGUUUCCUAAUUUGAUUUCAUGUAUAAUAUUACAGCAAACAAAAAAUAUUACACAUUAUAAUAUGUCUUAACAAAAAUUAUUAGAAAAAAUUGAAGAUGAUUAUGUUUGGUCCAUAUUAUUAGGAAACUGCAUAGAAGAUGGUUACGUUAUUAGUUAACCUGUAUCAUUAUUUAAUUUUUGUUUUUGUUUGAUUAAAUAAAAUUUAUGGAUGCAGUUACAAAAAGCAGCAGCCGAUAAAUAGGCAAUAUAAGUGAUGGUUACCUCCACAUUCUAUAUUUUAAUUUUGAUGCAGUUAUAUUAAAAAGUAUGCAUAAUUAAAAUUUUAAGUCAGACUCAACUAUUAUCAAUUGAGCAUGUUACUAAUUUAAUAGUAUUGAUUUAAAAUAAAAGUAACAAAUUAAUAUGUAAAAGACAAAGAGACAAUGUGUUGAAUAUACCCAAUUAAAGUCCAAAUUAGUUGAAUGCCCAUGAUUAUGGAUAACCGAAAAAGUAGUAACCUUUUGACACUGU
rnacentral:lncRNA from 1 species